CCUUAACUUAGUGAAACUUCCAGGCUCCAUUUGAGGGUUUCCUCUCCCUGCAUUACUGUUUAGAAGUUCUCCAGGCAAUAAAAGACUCCAGAAAAUAGCUUUGAAACCUGCAUUCUAUAUAACAACUGUAUCAGUUACCUAUUUUUGCACAAAUAGAAGAAAAAGGAAAGAGGCACAUCUCAGCCUUCUUGUGUUUGGGACAACUAGACGGUACUUGAGCACUACUCUUAAACAGAGAAAUCACCAUAAAAAAGCACAAACUCAUAAAAAAUGUGCCACUAAAUAGACGGAGGAAAGAAUACCUGUAAAACAACAGCUUAUUCAACUUCAGCUGGAAAUGUGUGUGGUGCAGCCCAGAUUUUUCACCACUUGGCUCCUGUCCAGGAAUGACUGUGAAUGUGCUGUCAGUGUCGAUCUUGGGGUUACAAAUAAAUCGUAACAAAAAGAAGACAUCUCCCUGUAGCUCUCCAAAAGUGCUCAGAGCACACUGUACUACAAUUUCAAAAGGAAACCACCUCUACAGAUUCUUACUCUGAUGUGCCCUGAUAGCUUCAGAG